rnacentral:rRNA from 1 species
AACGAACGCUGGCGGCGUGCCUAACACAUGCAAGUCGGACGAGAAAGUUUCCUUCGGGAAGCGAGUAAAGUGGCGCACGGGUGAGUAACACGUAGACAACCUGCCUUCCAGUCCGGGACAACCUUUCGAAAGAAGGGCUAAUACCGGAUAACACUUUGGGCCGCAUGGCCUGGGGUUGAAAGAUUUAUCGCUGGAAGAGGGGUCUGC